GUGCACGCUGGCGGUAGGCCUAACACAUGCAAGUCGAACGGCAGCACCGUAAGAGCUUGCUCUUCCGGGUGGCGAGUGGCGGACGGGUGAGGAAUACAUCGGAAUCUACUUUUUCGUGGGGGAUAACGUAGGGAAACUUACGCUAAUACCGCAUACGACCUACGGGUGAAAGCAGGGGAUCUUCGGACCUUGCGCGAUUGAAUGAGCCGAUGUCGGAUUAGCUAGUUGGCGGGGUAAAGGCCACCAAGGCGACGAUCCGUAGCUGGUCUGAGAGGAUGAUCAGCCACACUGGAACUGAGACACGGUCCAGACUCCUACGGGAGGCAGCAGUGGGGAAUAUUGGACAAUGGGCGCAAGCCUGAUCCAGCCAUACCGCGUGGGUGAAGAAGGCCUUCGGGUUGUAAAGCCCUUUUGUUGGGAAAGAAAAGCAGCAGGUUAAUACCCCGCUGUUCUGACGGUACCCAAAGAAUAAGCACCGGCUAACUUCGUG
rnacentral:rRNA from 1 species